rnacentral:lncRNA from 1 species
UCUUUUUCAACCUCGGGUACGAGGGCCAGCGUAUAGUCAACUACGAAGUCUGCCAAGAUUUGAGACUUGAUGGUGGUUCGGGGUCGAUACUCAAUAUCGUACCCGCUGAUUUCUAUGUCCCAUUUGGACAAUCGACCCGAAAUCUCGGGUUUAUGCAAAACAUUUCAAAGAGGAUAAGUUGUUAUAACACAUAUUGGAUGACAUUAGAAAUACGAUUUUAGUUUUCUAGAGGCGCUUAUUAAAGCAAGCGCUAAUUUUUUUAAUGUGGGUAUCUAGUUUCGACCUUACCCAUGGUUCGACUAACAUAAUAGACAGGGAAUUGCUUACCUUGUUCUUCUCGGAAUAGGACUUUACUUACCGCUAUCUCCGAGACUGCCAAGUAUAUGUAAAGUUGUUCAUCCACUUUUGGGGUGUGAAGCAGCGGUAGGCUCGAUAAAUACCGCUUUAGUUCCUCUAAGGCCUGCUGGCAUUCCGGAGUCCAUGCAAAAUUGCUCUUCUUCUUAAGCAACGAGAAGAAUCGGUGGCUCCUAUCUGAGGAUCUCGAAAUGAAUCAUCCUAGGGCGGUUAUCCGCCCCAUCAGCCUCUGCACAACCUUUAUAUUAUCCACUAUCGUGAUAUCAUCAAUAGCUUUAAAUUUAUCGGGGUUGAUCUCCAUUCCCCGGUUGGACACCAUGAAAUCAAGAAACUUGCCCGAGCCAACUCUGAAUGCACACUUUUCGGGGUUGGGCUUCAUAUUGUACUUCCUUAAUAUAUUUAAAGUUUCCUACAAAUGCUUUAAAUGGUCCUAUGCUCGCAGGGACUUAAUUAACAUGUCAUCAAUAUAAACUUCCAUUGAUUUUCCUAUUUGUUCUUCGAACAUUUGGUUUACUAGGUGUUGAUAAGUUGCACCAGUAUUUUUUAGACCGAAUGGCAUUACAUUAUAACAGUAGGUACCAUACUUAGUGAUAAACGAGGUCUUUUCCUGAUCCUCCAGGUUCAUCUGUAUCUGGUUGUACCCAGAGUAGGCAUCGAGAAAACUGAGAGUCUCGUGGCUUGCCGUGGCAUCGAUCAUACGAUCAAUAUUUGGCAAAGGAAAAGAAUCCUUGGGGCAUGCUUUAUUCAGGUCUUUAUAAUCUAUACACAUUCUAAGUUUGUUUCCCUUUUUAGGGACUACCACUAUGUUUGCUAACCAUUCGGGGUACUUUACUUCCCGAAUGGAUCCUAUUUUGAGAAGUUUGGUUACCUCGUUCUUGAUGAAGGCAUGUUUGAUCUCGGACUGGGGCCUUCUCUUUUGCUUUACCGGGUAGAAUUUAGGGUCCAUGCUUAGUUUGUGAGUGGUAAUUUCUGGUGGAAUCCAUGUCAUAUCGAGAUGGGACCAGGCAAAGCAAUCCAUGUUAGCUUUAAGGAAAUGAAUAAGUUUUUUCCUGAGCUCGGGGGUUAGCCCCGUGCCCAGGUAUACCUUUCAUUCGGGUUGAUGCUUGGCCAGUGUGAUUUAUUCCAGCUCUUCGACCUUUGACUUGGUGGCAUCGGAGUCAUAGGGAACUAUGAAGGCUCGAGGGAUCCAGUAGUCGUCAUCUUCGUUGAUCCCUUUCUCCUACAAUUGGGUCGAGGCCGGUAUAUGUGGUUGUUAUUUGGCCUUCUGUUUUCCCUUCGAUCCCUUCGUUGAUGAGAGUGUCGAUACUGGUAUCACUUCAUCUACUGAAAACAUUUCCUUGGCAGUGGGUUGCUCCCCGUACACUGUUUUGACUCCCUCCGAUGUCGGGAACUUCAGAACUUGGUGAAGGGUCGAGGGCACUGCCCUCAUGUUAUGGAUCCAAGGCCUUCCGAGUAGGGUGUUAUACCUCAUGUCACCAUCGAUCACAUGGAACUCUGUUUCUUGGAUGGUCCCGUCCACGUUCAUUGGCAAAGUAAUUUCACCCUUGGUGGUUUCGCUUGCCAUGUUGAAGCCGUUAAGUACUCGGACUGCAGGCACGAUUUGAUCUUGUAGGCCGAGCUGUUCUAUGACCCUCAAUCGAAUAAUGUUGGCCGAGCUACAUGGAUCAAUCAAAACACGUUUAACUUGAAUUUUAUUCAUAAGAAUAGAUAUUACCAGUGCGUCAUUGUAGGGUUGUAAGAUCCCCUCUGCAUCCCCAUCACUGAAAGAUAAGGUCCCCUCCGGUAUGUAGUCUCGAGUCUGCUUUUCCCUCGUGAUCGACACCUUGGUGCGUUUGAAUACAGGAUCAUGAAGAAUAUCGACCCCUCCAAUAAUCAUGUGGAUCACGUGUUGUGGCUCUUCUUGCUCAUUCUGUAUGUUUGAAUCUCUGUUCUUGAAAUGAUUUUUAGCCCGAUCGCUUAAGAAUUCUUGAAGAUGCCCUUCGUUGAACAAACAUGUUACCUCCUCCCUCAGUUGUCUGUAAUCUUCCGUUCUAUGACCAUGGGUGCCAUGAUAUUUGCACAUUUGAUUAGGAUUUCUCUGGGUUAGAUCAGUCUAUAGAGGGCGGGGCCACCUGGUGUCUUUGAUGCGCCCAAUGGCCGAUACAAUAGCUAAUGUAUCAAUGUUGAAGUUGUAUUCCGAUAGUCGUGGUGCUUCUUUGGGUUCGACAUUUCUGUCGAAACCACUCUUACUCAUGAGCCCUCGAGAGCUCUAUCCUCGAUCAUUUCUUCUAUCAGGCCCGCUGUUUCUCCGAUCUCCAUCGUAUGGCUGAUAUCGAUCUAUGUUUGACUGUGGUUCCCAGUCAAUAUCCCUUUUAACUCUGUUGAUGGUCCUGUUUGGAUAAACGGACUCGGAAGGAGUCCCCUACUGGUCAUCCUCGACCCUAAUCUUUGACUGGUACCGAUUAUGCAUGUCGGCCCAGGUUACAGCUGGAUAUUCAAUCAAGUUCUGCUUCAACUAUUGUGAGGCUACCGAACUUCGUAUGUUUAGGCCUUGAGUGAAAGCCUGAAUGGCCUAAUCGUCGGCGAUUGGGGGCAGAUCCAUGUGCUCCAUUUGGAACCGAGAUACGUACUCUCUAAGCAUCUCAUUUUCUUUUUGUUUUACUUUGAAGAGGUCUGACUUUCUAGUCUCGACCUUUAUCGCUCUGGCGUGCGCUUUGACGAAGGAAUCUGCGAGCAUGGUAAAAUAAUCAAUGUAGUUAGGUGAUAAAUUAUGGUACCAUAUCAUCGCCCCAUUUGAUAAAGUUUUUCCGAAUAUCUUUAGCAGUACGGACUCAAUCUCAUCGUCCUCUAAGUCGUUCCCCUUUAUUGCGCAUGUGUAAGAAGUGACAUGCUCGUUGGGUCGGUAGUUCCAUUAUACUUGGGAAUUUCUGGCAUGCAGAAUUUUUUCGAAAUGGGCUUAGGAGCUGCGCUCGGGGGGAGAGGGGGGGGGGGAGGGGGGUCUUUUGUACGAACUUCUUUGAAUCCAAACCCUUCAACAUCGAUGGUGCUCCCAAAAUUUGAUCAACUCGGGAGUCAUAUGUUUUCACUAUUUUGUCAUUCGCUUCAAUCUUCUUCUUCCCCGAUUCAAUUCGCUUUGUCAGCUCCUCGAACAUUUUCAAGAUAGAGGGGUCGGUUCCUGACUCACUCCCAUUUGACCUCCCCAGCAUUGGUUCGGCCUUGUGAAUAAUUUUCUAUGAUGGCUCGGGUUCGACCCUACUCGGUGUGUGGUUCUGAUUUUGAAGUUGUGCUAUUGCAGCUUGUUGGGCUUGCAACAUUUCGAAUAUUAUUCGAAGGCUGAUUCCGCCUUAUUUGCCACCCUGUGAGUUCUGACCGGCUGAUCGAACGCUUCUGCGGAUGCUAUUUUCGGAGUCGACGCCCAGAUUUGCAUUCAGGGCAACAUGGGAACUGACGUCGAUGGGGUCUGCAACUGGUACUCCCUCGAGGUCAACUGGAAACACUUCAUUUCCUGGGGAGGCUACAUUGUCGUUUUCGCCAUGAAAACCAAGGCCGUUGUCGAUGUGUGUAGGUACUGCUUGAGAGUUCGACAUGCUAAUCGUGGAAUAAAAAUUCAAAAAUGCUUUCAAGAACAAGUGUAAAGCAGUGUGCGUUAUGAAAAUUAGCACCAGGCAAUCACUAUUGUCCUUAGCCCCACGGUGGGCGCCAAACUGUUUACCCUAAAAACGGAUAACAAUUGAAUUUAUAUGUGGUUUUAAGGACACAUGAUUUUACUUAGCACAAACUGAUAAAAUAUGCAAACUGAUAUUGAAAUUGACUGUAAAGAAAAAUAAAAGCAAACCAAAUGAGAUAUAUAGCUUGGGCCCUCGAACCAAAUGAAACAACAAAGGAAAUAUAAGCAAAGUAACACAGUAUCGAGAACAUUGAAAAAAGAGUAGUAUAUUGCUUUUUUACUGUCUGAGACCCCCUUUACAAAUGGUUAUACCCCUUUAUAUAGUAGGGGAGUCUUACUCUUUAUACAAUUCUAAAUAUAGUAAGGACUCUCAUGAUAGGCUAAUUAAUCGUCCUCUUCUUGAUACGUGCCAUGAUUUCCGCCGAGAUUCUCCCCCUAAUUGCGGUUGUAACGACUUUUUGUUUCUUGGCUCGAUCUUGAUCCUGGCCGAUCUCGAUCUUGACCGACCUCGAUCUUGAUCGGUCUCUGGGUCUCGAGCUCGACAAUAUAUUCUUCGCACUAUCGCUCGAUAUUACAAUGAUGAGCCUUGAACCAUCAUGUUCCAAUCUCGAUUAAUCAUACGACGGGCAAAACUCGGUUUUGAUCGUAUACACUAUGAAUUUCGUAUCAAAAUAUUCAUAAUCUAUAAACUUUAAAUCCUGACCCAUUUUUGCUUGUAUGUAUAUAAGAGAAACAAAAGGGGUGAAAUUUAAAAAUAGCCAGAUUUACAAGUGGUAAUUGAAAAAUAGCCACAGUUUCAAAAGUAAUCGAAAUUUAGCCACUUUUCAUGUAAAGAUAAUCUGAACGAAAAUAUUGUUCAAAAUCCGAAAAAUAUUCUAGUAUAAUAUACUCGAGUUCAAAUUUUUUACAUGUGAACUUCCAGCAUAAUAUACUGGAGUUCCAGCAUAAUAUACUGGAGUUCCAGCAUGAUAUGCCGGUCCAACAUAAUAUGCUGGAAGUUCAUACUUCAUACACAGGUGCUCCAAUCUCCAGUAUAUUAUGCUGGAACUUUCCAUGUGCUGGAGUUUCAGUAUAAUAUGUUGGAAGUUCAUACACAAGUGCACCAAUCUCCAGUAUAUUUUGCUGGAACUUUCCGUGUUGCAGCAAAAUAGUGACUACUUUUCAAACACUUUGCAAACGCUGAUUAUUUUUUAAUUACCAGUUUGAAAACUGACUAGUCCGUUAUAUUUAUACAAAUAAAAGAGAGCUCCAAAUUAAUGCAAGAAGGUCGGUGUUGUACGAGGAACAAGCUAAGAAUCUCAAUUGCUUCAAAGGUGGUUUUGAAUGAAAUUAAGUUCAUUGAAUCAAAAGGUCGGUCACAUCACUCACGACUCAUCCAUCCUGCCCACUUUUCACCAUAUACGCACAUAAAUUUUAUUUUAAUUUAAUUUAGUACAUGAAUAUUCUUUAUAUAAAUUCUUUUUUCUUUUCUAAUAACUUAAGAACACAGUACUGUUAUUUCUUUUCUUUAUAUAAAUUUCAUUUUUCAUGAAUUGAAAACUCUUUUUAAUGUAGUUGUCGAGAUAUGUUAUAAUAUAAUACUAAUGUAUUAUGUCAACGUGGGCCAAGACUCUGUACUUUUCCUUUAUCUCUCACUUGCAGCUAUGACCUCAAUAGGAAUUUUAAAGGAUGAAGACCAACAUGUAAUAUAAGAAAGAUUGUGUUGUUUGUACUCCUAAUUCUAGUCUUAAUAUAAUAUUCCUUGUUUCCAAAUCAAAGGACCAAUUAUCUUUGAUUGCUUAGCUGCUGUUCUACUUCCGAACCAAAUAUUACCCUGUAAUCCCACUUAUCUUUUUCAAGUACAAUUCUUUGAUUUUUAUUAAUUUCUUUCUAGAAAAGUAUAUCAAUAUCUAUUGUAGCAAACAAUGAAGAUAAUAAAUAAACGGAUUUAUAAAGUGGGUACUAGGAGCAAAUCCCCAAUUUUUUUAAUAAUUUGCACAUUUUGUAUUGAAAUUUGUUUUUUAAUGAGAAAAUGUUUGUAAUUUCUGUUAUAUAAAAGUAGAGGUUUAAAUAUAUUCUAGCUAUAAUUACAAAGAUACUCCAGUGCAAUACAACAUUUUUCCCUCUAUUGAAUUCUUCAUUAGCCAAUGGGUUUUUAGGUUGAAAUGAUUAGAAAUUAUGUUGGAGACUUUUAGGACCCGUUUGUCCAUAAAUAAUUUUAUUUUUUUUGAAUUCUUUUUCCAAAGAUGUGUUUGUUCAUGAACUUUUGUAAGUUUUUAAAAAAAUUUCGAAAUCCACUCACAAAGCUGCAAGAUUUUUUCUAGUGAAAUGCAAUGACCAAAUAUAAUUUCAAAUUCCAAAUAUUAUUUUUCAACUUAACUCCAAAUACUAAAUUUUUUCAAAACUUACAAUUUUUAUGUCCAAACACCUACUUAAGUUGGAAAGAAACCUGCAGUUUAAGUGGGCGUUUGGACUUAAGAAUUGUAAAAUUCCAAAAAAAAAGUGAAAAUUUUUCAAGUGAAAAUGAUAUUUGAAAAUUAGAGUUGUGUUUAGACAAGAAUAUAAUUUUGGGUUGUUUUUGAAGUUUUGUGAGUGAAAAUUUUAAAAAAUCGCUUUUUGGACUUUUUUAUAUUUUUGAAAAAUUCAAAAAUUCAUUUUCAAGUGAAAAUUAGAAAUUUUAUGGCUAAACACUGAUUUCGAAAAAAAAUAAAAAUUUCAAAAAAAUAAAAAAAUUCUUAUCUCCAAACGGGCUCUAAAUCUAUCAAUUUGAAGUAAAUAUUGAAUAAAAAUAAGUAUUUUUUGGUUGGUGGAAAAGACAAGGAGACAAGAAGAAGGGUGGAGGAAGGGGGUAAAGGACUUGGUGAUAUAGUCCAGGGGUGAAGAACCUUGGACAAAGAGACAUCCCCCUAUUACCACAAACCUCAACACCUUGUCCCCACUUUAUUAAGUAAUUCACUGAAUCCAACCCCACUUUCUCUACCUCUUCUCUCUAAUCUAACAUAAUUAGACAUAUAAUACCUCAUUAGUAUCAAACAACCAAAAUUUUAAAUCAAGAAAACAAAUAUCCACAACUCAUUUCCUUUCAUUCUUUUCAAUACUGCUACAUUUCUUUUUUCACCCUUUCCUCAUUCCUCUCCCCUAUACCAAAUCUUGUGCUUAAUUUCCUUGUGUUUCUUUCCUUUCCACCAUAUCCUUCAGUAUACAAUUUAACAUAUAGCUGGUUGAAGAGAAACUACUUGCUGAUAUAACUCAUCAAUAUAUUUACUGGAGGUUUACAUUUCUCUGCCCCUUCAAAGAAAGACAAGAUUUUGAGGAAAUCACAAGAUCCAAAAUCAAAUUUGAAGAGAUUGGUUCAAGUCAAAGAAGUACAAGCAUCAAACACAAAAUUGUAUAGAUUAAUCCGAAUUCGCAGCCUUGGAAUCUAGCUUGCAC